GCACUACUGACGAGUCCCGCACUAGGACGAAACGGCCGUCCAGUGC
rnacentral:hammerhead_ribozyme from 1 species